UACGGGGGGGAGCAAGCGUUGUUCGGAUUUACUGGGCGUAAAGGGCGCGUAGGCGGUUUGUCGCGUCUGCUGUGAAAACCCGAGGCUCAACCUCGGGCCUGCAGUGGGUACGGGCAGACUAGAGUGCGGUAGGGGAGAUUGGAAUUCCUGGUGUAGCGGUGGAAUGCGCAGAUAUCAGGAGGAACACCAAUGGCGAAGGCAGAUCUCUGGGCCGUAACUGACGCUGAGGAGCGAAAGCAUGGGGAGCGAACAGG
rnacentral:rRNA from 1 species